rnacentral:rRNA from 1 species
UACGUAGGGUGCAAGCGUUAAUCGGAAUUACUGGGCGUAAAGCGUGCGCAGGCGGUGAUGUAAGACAGGUGUGAAAUCCCUCGGCUCAACUGAGGAACUGCAGCGGGAGACUGUCGGGCUAGAGUGCGGAAGAGGCGAGUAGGAAUUCCUGGUGUAGCGGUGAAAGUGCGCAGAUAGUCAGGAGGAACACCAAUUGCGAAGGCAGCUCGCUGGGGACGUUAACUGACGCUGAGACGCGAAAGCGUGGGGAGCAAACCAGG